UAUUGGUGCCAUGGCAACAUUUUAUAGGAGAUGUCAAGAGCUUCAUAACUUCAUUCUACAGCAAUCAGUCAACGAGUAAAGAACAGUGUUUCAGAUAUAAUAAAGGAAAGCUAAACAGACAGAAGACUCCAGUAUAGAACGGCAGGCCUGGUUAUCCAGCCAUGGCCGAAGGCUCUGUCAGGAUUCCACGUGUCCCCUCUGAAGGGCAGGAGGGGAGGCUGAGGAGGCCGAUCCUCAACAGGCAAGAGCUGGACCAGUGGGUGGAGGAGCUGCAGAGGAAGAUGGCGAGUGACGAGAUGAGGAACGAGCUGCGGCGACUGAGAGACUCUGUGGACAGAAGAUUUGAGAUGUGGGCAAGACAGCGGAACAGGCAUAUCUAUCAGGAUGCACAGGAGAUAAAGCAGAAAGAGAUAGAGAGACAAGGUGCCCAGCUGAAAGGACUGGAGGAGAGAGUGAUGGAAGUGGAGAAACAGAGAAAGAGAGAAGAAGCCAUGGCAACGCUGAGAGAGCAGGAGAGAGUGAUGAACGAGAUCAAGAGAAAAGCAGCGGAGGAAGAGAGACAUCUAAGAGAGAUGGAAGAGAAUGUGAGGGAGCAGGAGAGACUCUUGAGAAAGAAAACGAU